GCGACGGAAGACGAGCUCGAGGAAGUUCACCGCCGUCAUUACUUUGUAUUCAUCGCCGCGCGCUCGAAGUACGCUUGCGUUCGUCGGCGAAAUCGAAGUACACGUAGAGGUAACAACGACAGCGAUCGCGAGGUCACACAAGCGCGAUGAAAGGAUCGAACCGCAGCAUCGUCCGCGCCAUGGCGCGCCUUCGGAAUGCGCGAUCAAAUUUUCUCGAAAUUACUAUCGAAUCUCAUUGGCGAAAAGACCCUCCCCCCUCUCAGUCUCUUCCCGACGCGGCGAGGAUACCGUUCUUCUCGCAAGAAGAACACGUCACAGCGUGUAUAAAUCGGGUACGUGACGUUAUCGCGCAUAUUCGUUUCGAGCAUCGCGAAUUUCGAGCUCCUCUACAACUGUCGUACACGGAAAAUGCGGCUCGCUCAAUUAGAUUAUCUUCGGUUAUCUGACGCAAGCUACGACGUUGGCAUACCCGGCUGUAAACAUAGCCUCGCAACGGGAGUGCAACGCAUGCGCCCGCUCCAUGUCGCCGACGUGAUGUUCGUCGAGUCGCAGCCCCGACGGGGUUUACGCGGUGGCGCGAUUUAAACUCGUGUGUGAGUUAAACUCGUGAAUCUUACAUUAGGGUAGCCAUCUUAAUCGCGCUAACGGCAGUUGCGCUUCCCCAUCACCGUGCAUGCGUAGCGUCGGCCGGCGGCCGAGCGGUCGCUCAUCGGCACGUACCUUUGCAUCCAGCCUGGAAGAAUCAUCAGUUGCCAAGGAUCCGUCCUGCUGGAACGCACGACCGACGGUCAGCCUCGUGCAACUCUAAGCAAAGCUGCGGAAUUUAAACUCGUAUCCGUAUCGCACGCUCGCCGACACGAAGCGCCAUAACACCGCUGCGGCGACGACUGCAAUCUCUAUCCCCCCACCACAGCGGCUGACGGACGUUCUGUCCGCCGUGCGCGGUCGUGCUCGCUUCGACUCUUGCCAGUAAACAGCUGGCGGCGCUCUGCGUCGGAGGCAGACGUUCAACGGGAUAGUGUAGAACCGCUCGCCUAUCCCCCUUUCCCCUCCCCUCACCGAUCCGGCUGUCCUGCCAACGAGGACGCGCGACGCGACGCGACGCGCACUCGGCGACUGUUUCUCUGCUCGCUCCACGGCGCAUUAUUCAGUCAGUGUAUCCGGGCGUGGACAGAGCUGGAGAGCGCCCAUGACGUUCUAGAGUGUGUACCUGUAUCAACGGAGAACGGUGUAUCGCAUCACGACGUCGGGCCCCGACGUGUCGUGUGGAAAAGCCGCGGGGAAAGCGGAGUCUCUUUGUUCCGCGCGACGGCGAUUCUGCGCAUAGCUGCUCACGCACGCGCGCGCGCGCGCGGCGCAGCAUUGUUUGUGUUGCAUCGCGCUUCGGUCUCUCGCUCGCGGUUUCGGUGGCUCUGACAAUCCGGGCGUUGGAGAGCACUGGCCGUGGUGCAUUGUCCGGGACGACGGUGCGCGCGGAAGUUCCCGAGGAAGUCGCGAGACGCGGCGACGGCACCGCGCGAGCUGUUGACGCGGUGUCGUUCUCCUCUCGAGUCGAGAAGCGAGGCUAAGAGAGAGAGAGAGAGACGGACGAAGGUAGAGAGAAGGAAGCGAGAAAGAGAAGAAGUGAGAAAGAGCGAGAGGGCGAGCGAGCGAGCGAGCGGCGAACGAGAACGGCGGCGACGAACGCUGCGGUGGCGUAACGCGGCGCGCGAGUGCUUUGUUUUGCCGAGCAGCUGAUCCGCGAACAGCUACGCCACGGUAGUAGACGACGCGUCGGCGUUAUCUCUGUCCUCUCUCUCUCUCUCUCUCUCUCUCUUUCUCUCGGCGACGCGACACGACCGUUCUUGUUCGCGAGGUCGCGCGUGUACGCGACGCGUUCUCACGCGCACGUCGCAUCUCCGAAAAAAAUCAUCUCGUGGAGGAGUAAACGCGCGUCCGUUCGUCCGUCCGUCCGUCCGUCUCCACAGUCGACGCCUGCACGAGUCGGCGCCCCGAAACGUCAUCGUGUCGCCCAGGGCCCGUCGGCCGAUUGGUUCGUGACGUGAAAACACUGUAAGGCGAGAGAGAGCAGCUGGCCGCGUCGUCGAAUCGAUCGUUGACUCUCCCCGCUGUCAGAGGUGUAUUUCCGUCAAGCCCAACGCGAGAACGCGCAUCGAGACUCGAGUGUGAAAUAAUUCCACGAGGAGAGAUCGCAGCGAGAAGGAAGCAGCAUCGAAGCCGAGGAAGGAUCGAUCGUUCAAUCGGUUCGCCAUCCACGAAGCAGGGAUACACGAGAAAGAGAGAGAGAGAGGUUCGGCAGAGGGAACGACACGGACGAGCCUCGCGUCCAACGACAAAGCGUCCAACCUCCUGUGUCCUGUGUAUUCGUCCGAACGCUCUCUCGGCCACGCUCAGCGCAGUGAGUGAGCUCGGUGACGUAAACUUGUUGGUGCGUGUGUGAAUGUGUGUGUGUACGACAGUGUGCACCGGGACUCGCGUUGCGUGGAGAGCCACGUUAUGACAUAAGGCAGCCGAUCGACCGACGUCGUCCACUGCGAGCGCGAGCACGGACAGAAGAGAGAAGAACGAGCGACCGUGAACGCGCUCGUUCGCUCGUUGAACGGUAGAGUCAGCAGGCCGACAACACGUCGGCUACGAUAACACAACGACAACAACAACAACGACGACGACGACGACGACGACGACGAGGAGGAGGAGGAGGACGUUGUUCCGUUGUCCGUUCGCUGGAUCGCGGAUCGAUUCUGCCGUGAGCUCGCUUCCGUGGAACAAAGAAAACGAGUCGAAGGAGUGAGCGCGGGGGAAGACGGUGGACGUUCCAGUUUCCCUCUCGACGAUCCGAGCGGCCGACAGUCUCGACACGCUGAGGAGGAUAUCUCUCCGUCCCGACGUCCGCUCAGCAUUCUCGACAAAGAGGCGGCGGCGGAGGAGGAGGAGGAGAAGAAGAAGGAGGAAGAGGGACCUGGAUGAGACUUUGCAACGCGUCUCUCACGUAGCAGAGCGCCGUUUCCGUCGCGAGGACCGACGUCGGGGAUCGCGUUGAUCGAUGCGGCAUAGACCCGAGGGGGCCGUACUCGCGAGCGGUCGGGAACGUGUGGUACGGCCCCGAUCGAGCUGACUGCAAGGAGAAACGUCGAGGCGGGGGCCCGUUAUCGCUGCUGUCGGGACCCUCGGCGAAGGGAAGGACCCGUGACGGCGGAUGCCGCCGCCGGGUCUGUUGUAGCAGUUUCGCCCUCGUCGACAACAUCGUCGUCGUCGUCGUUGUCGGCGCCUCCGGCGCCAAGACCGGCUACAAGAUGCUGUAUAUAUUCCACGUUGACACCGGCACCACCAUCACCUUCGACAUCAAGCUGGCCCUGCAGAGUGUCGCCCAACUGAAGGAGGCGAUCGAGAGGGAAUGCGGGGUGGCAGCGGCGCAGCAGGUAUUGCUGAUGAGCGGAGGCGAGAGUCUGGAACCGAACGCGCGCGUGUGCUCGUACUCGGCCGGGACCGACACGAAUCCGAUCUAUCUGUUCAGCAAGAGCGCCAUUGAGAGCCCCCUUCCACCCAUGCCGAGUAUAGAUUACGGUUCUGAUGCCGACCUUCAGGGUCAAAUCGAGGGCUCGGUGUCAAUGCCGGCUACUUAUCAGACUCUUGUCUCUCGCGCCUGCCUGGCUCAGCAGUGCUGCGGCUUGGCGCGGGAUCAGACGAGAGCCUGCGAAAGGCUGGUCCACGAUCAACACCUCCAGCAGCAAGGAUGGGCCGCGGUGGUCGCGAACCUCGAAGACAUCACGCAAAUGUUCCAGUCACGGGCCGAUCAAUUCCAGCAUAGCUUCGCUCUCUACCUCGCCGAGAGGCAGCAGCACAUGGAACUGCUCGACAACUUCAAUGCCGAUCUCGGCAUGCUGGCGAAAAUCCCUAUUUUGCCGGCCUUGAGAGCUCACGCCGAGGGCUUCAUGAACCCGGACGAUCAACCCAGCGAGUCCUCCGAGCCCGCGUUAUCCGACGGCACGGAAGAAGUACUGAGCCUGCUGCGAUGGAUCUCGGCGAAGGACAAUCAGAGCAGCCUGGAGCAAGUGGCGGAUCAAUGUUCGCGCGGGUUGGAGCAGUUUGACGAGCGGGUGAUGCAGAGCCUCAAGGCUGAAGUGAACGCGGCGAUUGAUAAUGCCAAUAAGCAGGACAUGAAGGAGAUCAAGGGUCUGGGUGAGAGGCUGUUUGCGCUGGAACAGCUUAUGGUGCAGGCCAAGAAGCUCGUCUUCGAGCAGGGCGAACUGGCGCAGGGUUUCGUGCAGAAUCAGAAUCGCGCGAGCAACCUUGGCGACGCCAGCGUCUUGCCUGAUCUCUGCCAUUCCCACAGGCGGCAGCUGCUCGUCAUGCUGCAGAAUCACAACCAGGUACGCGACAUCCGUCGCAGGUGCACAAAGGCGAAGGAGGAACUUUCGGUGAAUAUCUAUCGGCGCCUCAAAUGGAUCAUGUACGUUGAGAACAAAAUGAUGGAAGUGGACAGCAAGCUGGUCAUGUACAACGAGAGCCUGAAGCGUCUCAGGAGGCACCUGGAAGUGCUCCAACAGAUUCACUUGGCCCCGCAGAUGUACAUGAGCGCGGUGGCCGAGGUAGUCCGACGACGCACUUUCUCGCAGGCUUUCCUCGUUUGGGCCAGCAAUCUGGCGUGUCAACUGCUGACGGUUCACAGCGAGGAACUGUCACGUAGACGCGAGUUCCAGAGUAAAUUCGACGGCCACUUCCUCAACACGUUGUUCCCGGGGCUUGAGGACACGCCACCGCCCUUCGCGACGCAAGCGCCUUCUGUUUUCGACAAUGGGUUACCGAAGCUAACUGCGGACGACAUGGAGUCGUUGAGGUCACAGCUCCCGGACUUGGCGCGCUCGAUCUCUACGCCGGACCUGAAUAGCAUCACGCAGUUUUUCUUGUCCAAGAGUCUCAUUGAAGCCAGCACCGACGGUAACAAGGACAAAGAUGCCACGUCGGUCAGCACCGAUAUCCUCGCGAAGGAACAGGAGCGAACUAGAGCACCAUUAUUGUCGGACAGAGGGGGCUUCGAAUCCGAAACGGACACGGAGGAGUUCGAGAAGAUCGGCCAGGCUGGCGUGGCCGACACGACGAAAGCCGGCGUGUUCGACGGGGCGAAGCAGAAGCGGCAGAAGCAAUUGGAGGUUGGUGCCUCUCGAAGCGUGUCCCCCGCUUCCUCGACCUCGACUAACGUCUCCCCGCUAAACUCGAAAGUCGCGGAUCUAACGACGCGUUCGUCCACGUCGAGCGAACCCGGCUCCUUCCAAUUCCCCAGCCUGUCCGUCGCGAGCGAGCGUCCGGCGCAGCUGAGCCCGCUGACCGAGUGCGUGGAGAACGGCGCCGUCGACUCCGCCGCCGGCUGCUUGCUUCACCAUGACGCGAGCGGUGGCCUCUCGAAAUAUCGCGAUGGCCUGUCGCUCGAGGAGACGAAUUCCCUGAGCCCGAAUCCCUCCUCCCUGCCACGGUCCUCCGUGAUGUGCGACGGCCAGCAGCUGCAGCAUCAGCAUCCGCUGUCCGGCAGCGGCGGUAGCAGUCCCUCGGUCGGCGUGGGCGCUACCGACUUCAUGGGUACCGAGUUUUACAUGGACGAAUCCCUGCCGAGCAGCCUCAGCGAGCCUCCCGCCGACGGCCAGCAUCAGGCCAUCGUGUCCCUCCUUCAGGAAAACCUUGGCAACACGCGCGAGGAAGUGGAGAGAUUGCGAUCCAUUCUGAAGACCAUGAAGGCGGUCAUGUCCGAGGCGUUGAGCUCCGUCCGGCAUGAAUUGACGAUCCUGCGCGAGCAGUCCGACGAGGACAAGAGCAACCUCGCCGAGAUGACGGAGCGAGUCCGAAUGGCGCUUUCCUUGUACUCGCGGGAGUGUGACCGGCGUCUGCAGGAACGCGAGCAGGAACUGAUGGUCGAUCACGAACUCGAGCUGGCGGAGAUCAAGAAAGUGAUGCAGAGUCGUGAAGAGGAGAUUGGCACGUUCAAACGUAAUCUCAUGGAGAAGGAGACGGAAUUGGCGGAGCACGAGCGACUGGCGGCCACGAUGCGCCAGAAGCUGGAGGAUGAGCAGAUCGAACUGGGGAAUCUGCAGACUCGUUUGCACCAGCAGCUCGAGAACGAGUUGGAGCAAGCGCGCUUAGACAAGGAGGAGACUGUGAAAAAGGCGAACGAUGAAAGGUGUCUCGAGAUCGCCUCGUUGACAAAUUCCUUGACGCAGUGUCACAAACGAAUCGAGAAGUUGGAAGGAGAUCUAGCCACCGCUCGCAGCGAUCAGGAGAGAAUGGUGAAAGAGGCGACCGACAAGUUCCAGUUGGAGUAUAAGACGGAGCUGGAAACGCUCCGGAGUCGCUUCAAACUCAUGGCCGCCUCCACCAUGGAAAGGAGUCCUAGCGAUUGUAGCCUAGAGAAGAUCGAGCGGACUGAUGUCAUCGAGCUCGCGAAUCAUGAGAUGAUCUUGGCGCAAACAAAGGAAGACAUGAAACUGGAGAACGCCGCAGUGCUUCGUACCGCCAUCGAGAAAGAGAGAGCCGACUGCAUGACAAAGUUGGAUAACGAGUUGAAAGUCGCCACUCAAAUGGUCGAGGAGAAGGAUAGAGAGCUGAAGAUAUACAGAAUGAGAGAGGCCGCACUGAUUGAGGAAUGCCAACGUUAUAAGAAUACGAUACGACUAUUGACCAAGUCGGAGAGCGUGCAGCGGCAAAUGUUACAUGAGAUGGUGGGGAGUCUCGAGGCAGACAAAAUGUGGAAGGAGAGCAGUCUGGAGAAGAAACUGCGAGCGAUCAACGAGUGCGACGCCGUUGCCUAUCCAGAGUCUACGGUACACAAGGAGUUCACUCACUAUGAACGAUUGGACAGCAGUCAAGGUGAUCUGGAGGAAGUCCUGAAGGGCGCGAAGAGCGACAAAUACGAAGUCGAGGUCUCGGAGUCGAAGAAGGUGCGACUGGAGGCGGGCGACGACGAAGUCGCUCGGCUUUCCAGACGACUCGAACUUCUCGAGAACGAUAACAAGAGGCUGUCCGCGGAACUGGUGACGAUACAUCAGAGCAAAAUGGCGGCCGAGGCGAAAAUGGAGUCGCUGAUGUCGGACAAAGUACGUCUGGAGAUCGAGUUGGCGAAAGAACGAACCAAGAGGAUCUUCGGCAUGGAAACGUUGCUGUCGGAGAGCCGCGAUAAGGAGAUGAACGCGUCGGUCGCGGUGGUCCCGGAAUUAAGUUCGGGCUCGAGCCGAGACGCGGCUACCAGUCCGGAACCGAGCGGACGGUCAGCUUCCAAAUCGUGCUUAGCCUUGUCGCGAAUGCGUAAGAAGAUCGAAGAGGGUAUUAUGGCGAAGAUUGCGAAGUUGGGCGUCGUUACCGUUACCAGUUGCAAUCCGGGCGACGUGGUGCUCGUGUUCUGGGAUCCCGUUCACGGCAAUUACGCGGUGUAUCAGGAAUCCUCGACUCUUUAUUUCCUCCAUUCGGACUAUGUAGACACGUUGGACGUGCGGAUGAAUGCGAACGGCUCUCGCAAGUGUAUUCUCGCCGAGGUGAUCGAUAAGGAAUAUUGUCACGCGAGAAAGAGGGAGAAUCGGUAUCAUGUUCCACUCGGCACCAAGUUCUAUCGAGUGCGCGUAAAACCAGUGGCCGACGACUCGGGCUCGUUGAUGAAGAGUCAACUACCGUAAUUUUACGUUCCGACUAAGCGUCGAGAAUCCCUUGAUUCUUGCCUAGUACAAGCGCUGUGAUCGAGGGUUUGCGUCGGAAGGCCGCGCUCGCUAGGGGACCAGCAGCGACCUGGAAUGCAAAUCCCGAACUUACGUCUCCGCGACCAUCCGGAAACCUCGGAUCUAGGCCAAAACCUGCCAGAGCCUCUAGACGCAUCCUUGAUGUCGAUGAAUUUUAGGAUGAUGGUCCGCGAAAAGAGCCAACUCACGAGAGGGUCCAGGUGGAGCAGAAAAUCACGACAAUGCGAAAAUUGGCGGGCGAGAACACGAUCGAAUUAUGAUCGAGAGGAACUUCUUUCUUACACGGUCACUCUCUCGUCAGCGUGAUCGCGUUGUCGUGACUCUCCGCUCUCUUCUGGGGCUCGGCGAAGAGGCUGUCACUGCGACGCCGACGGGCGGUCGCUCGACGUCGCAGCCCCCCGGCGUCUUCGCCGAAGAACCUCACGACAGUUGGAGCUACCUAACGUGCAAGUACGACGUAGAAUCCGUUGGCGCCAACUUGGGGCAGCGGGAAUGAAGAAAUGUUGCGGUGCUUCGGAGCAAGCGGAGCCAGCAAGCGAGUCAAGCGAAGUAAACUCGUGUGAUCGACUAACUCGAAUUUUUCGUCCUUAGAAGGUACUUCGAACGAAGCUCUGUCUUGUCGCUCACGAUGCGUUUUUAUCGGUGGCCAGAGAGAUUUGCGAGGGCGGGUGACCGCGCGUAAAAUCGCGCGACUAGCAAGCGAUUGUAGUCGGGCUGUAACUGAAGCUUCGCUGAGUUAUUAUUACCAGUCGUUACUCCGGUAGACAGUGUGUAGGCGUACUUUUGAUUUCGACGAAUCGUGAGAACCUGAAUAUCAAAGCAAUGUGCCUGUGUAUCGUAUAAGUGUAUCACUCAUUACCGGAACACGCUCGUGUGCCCGAUCGACGGGGCAAUCGAUCUUGCUCUCGGCCGGAAGUACUCGCUGGAACGGCGCUCCGUGCCGCUAAGGAACGACUGCGGACAAUCGCGCGAGUGUCCUGUAAUUUCGUAACCGUUAUCCCCACGCAGGAGCUAAUUAAUUGCGUAAGGUAAAUUAAAACAGACACAAAGAGAGGGAGAAAGAGAGAGAGAGAGAGAGAGAGAGAGAGAGAGAGAGAGAAGAAGAGAAUUUCCGAUCAAAUGGACCAGCAUUGGCGAUUUUUUCAAGUACGAAUCCUUAGAUGUAACGAAGAAGCGUGACUUUGUAGAGAGGCGUCGCGUUUUUAUCCUCGUAGCGAUCCUUGAGACUUAGCGAGAUUUGCUUUUCUCGUACGCUUACGAACGAAGAGAGAACGAAAUUCGGGGAGAAUUGGAGCUUCGAUUUGUAUACUCGGCUACGAUAGAUCUCUUCUGAAUAAACUAAAUUCGCGUAAGAUCAGUGUUUUGCGGUUAAAGUUAGGCUGUAACACACACGUAGGCGUUAAUCGGCUUCGGAGGUAAAUUUGUACGGCCGACUAAGCGCGGUCGAGAGAUCAGUCCGCGCUGUCUCUCCCGAUUGAUUUGAUCACUCGAUCGACUCGACUCGACGGACAAAUUCGUUUCUACUAUCGAAUUAGAUUAAAUUAGCGUAAAGGAGGUGAAAUCACGCGCGCGGUGCGUAGCGCGUAUCGAGUUAGACGACGCUUGUUUUAUAAUGCGAGAAUCAGCCGCCGAGCGAAGGAGGCAACGGCACCGUUUUCGCGAUCCGCUUGAACGAUCGCGCAAUAAUCACGAGUGCAUAAUAAUUAAUUCGACAUUACGAUAAGCUCGGUUGCGACGGUUCGUCGUGUCUUCAAAAUGAAAAAAAAAAAACGACCGAUAACAGGCCCAUCCUCCCUCCUUUGCGCGCGUAAGUCGAUACGACGCCCAGAGGAAUCUUUGAGAUUCCGUCAGCGCGCUUAUCACCCCAGUGGCAAUCUCACCCGAUGUCGCAUUAUCAGUUAAGAUACCUUCAUCCAGACCAGCCUGCGAUCGCGCGGACGAGCUUCGCAUCCGUUCCGUACGCGCGUCCUGUCACGAGCGCACGCGAACGCACUCGUAAAAAGAAAUUCGUAAAAGAUACAACUGAUAAGGAAGAUAAUGCACACGUGUAAUCGAGAAAGUGUAAUGCAUAGGUACGUAAUAAUAAAAUAAUAAUAUUAAUAUUGCAUAACAUACAUAACAAUUGUGAUCGUGAGAGUAUCUGUUACGAA